UGGGGAAUUUUGGACAAUGGGCGAAAGCCUGAUCCAGCAAUGCCGCGUGUGUGAAGAAGGCCUUCGGGUUGUAAAGCACUUUUGUCCGGAAAGAAAUCCUUGGCUCUAAUACAGUCGGGGGAUGACGGUACCGGAAGAAUAAGCACCGGCUAACUACGUGCCAGCAGCCGCGGUAAUACGUAGGGUGCAAGCGUUAAUCGGAAUUACUGGGCGUAAAGCGUGCGCAGGCGGUUUGCUAAGACCGAUGUGAAAUCCCCGGGCUCAACCUGGGAACUGCAUUGGUGACUGGCAGGCUAGAGUAUGGCAGAGGGGGGUAGAAUUCCACGUGUAGCAGUGAAAUGCGUAGAGAUGUGGAGGAAUACCGAUGGCGAAGGCAGCCCCCUGGGCCAAUACUGACGCUCAUGCACGAAAGCGUGGGGAGCAAACAGGAUUAGAUACCCUGGUAGUCCACGCCCUAAACGAUGUAAACUAGUUGUUGGGGAUUCAUUUCCUUAGUAACGUAGCUAACGCGUGAAGUUGACCGCCUGGGGAGUACGGUCGCAAGAUUAAAACUUAAAGGAAUUGACGGGGUCAUAGCUGUUUCCU
rnacentral:rRNA from 1 species